UGAAUACGAGACGCUAAGGCGUCGAAGUAGUGUAUGUCAUACUUCCAAGAAAAGCUUGCACAGUCAUAAAUAAAAAUUGCCUGUACCAUAACCGACACAGGUGGGUAGGUAGAGUAUACUAAGGGGCGCGAGACAACUCUCUCUAAGGAACUCGGCAAAAUAACUCCGUAACUUCGGGAGAAGGAGUGCCUUAUUCUUAAGGUUGCAAUAACAAGAUCCAAGCAACUGUUUAUCAAAAACACAGGUCUCCGCUAAGUCGCAAGACGAUGUAUGGGGGCUGACGCCUGCCCAGUGCCAGAAGGUUAAAGAAGUUGGUUAGCUUUUGCGAAGCUGAUAACUGAAGCCCUGGUGAACGGCGGCCGUAACAAUAACGGUCCUAAGGUAGCGAAAUUCCUUGUCGGGUAAGUUCCGACCCGCACGAAAGGCGUAAUGAUUUGGAUACUGUCUCGGAGAGGGGCUCGGUGAAAUAGACUUGUCUGUGAAGAUGCGGACUACCUGCACCAGGACAGAAAGACCCUAUGAAGCUUUACUGUAACUUGAAAUUGAAAUUGGACUUUAUUCGCGCAGUAUAGGUGGGAGGCGUUGAUUGUAGUCUUGCGGGAUUAUUGGAGCCAUCAGUGAGAUACCACUCUUGUAAUGUUAGAUUUCUAACUUUGUAUCAUUAUCUGGUCAAAGAACAGUUUCAGGCGGGCAGUUUGACUGGGGCGGUCGCCUCCUAAACGGUAACGGAGGCGUACAAAGGUUUCCUCUGAACGGUUAGAAAUCGUAUCUAGAGUGUAAAGGCAUAAGGAAGCUUGACUGUGAGACCUACAAGUCGAGCAGGGACGAAAGUCGGUCUUAGUGAUCUGACGGUACUGAGUGGAAAGGCCGUCACUCAACGGAUAAAAGUUACUCUAAGGAUAACAGGCUGAUCUCCCCCAAGAGUUCACAUCGACGGGGAGGUUUGGCACCUCGAUGUCGGCUCAUCGCAUCCUGGGGCGGUAGUACGUCCCAAGGGUUGGGCUGUUCGCCCAUGAAAGCGGUACGCGAGCUGGGUUCAGAACGUCGUGAGACAGUUCGGUCCAUAUCCGGUGUAGGCGUUAGAAUAUUGAGAGGAGCCUUCUUUAGUACGAGAGGACCGAGAAGGACAUACCUCUGGUGUACCAGUUAUCGUGCCAACGGUAAACGCUGGGUAGCUAUGUAUGGAGUGGAUAACCGCUGAAAGCAUCUAAGUGGGAAGCCCACCUCAAGAUAAGUAUUCUCAUC
rnacentral:rRNA from 1 species